rnacentral:tRNA from 1 species
GGAGAGAUGUCUGAGUGGACUAAAGCGGCGGAUUGCUAAUCCGUUAUACGAGUUAAUCGUACCGAAGGUUCGAAUCCAUCUCUUUUCA